GCCGUUGUUAUUAGGCGCGGCGAGGCGGGUGGCGCGCGGCAGCAGGGUUGGGCUCUCGCCGUGAGUCGACGAAGGGAGCGCGGGCGCGCGCCCGCGUCCGCGCACUGAGAGUCGCCUCGGCCGCUCGCUUUCUCGACUCCCGCCUCGCGCCUCGAUCCUGUUCCGCCUCCCUCGGCCCUCCUGCCCGCCCCCACUCGUCGGCCCUCAGCUCAGAGACCUAAUAGGAUGGGGUCUUAGAGAAACAUCUUUUGAGCCACAGACUUCUUUGUUACCAGAAGGAAAAUGAAAGAAGAAAUUUAAAUACCACUUGAAGAGAGCAAAGUCAGAAAAAGUAUGUACCUGAAGGACUGAUUGUAAGGCUGGGAUGAGAGAAUCCAUGUGAUCAGCCCUCACCAACAGGUGCUGCCCAGUUCAUGAGUGCUGCUGCUGUCCUGCCCAAGUACCCAGCUUGCAGAGUGCCAGAGUUAGAGUCCCAGGGGUGUUCUCCACAGCUGCAUGCUUGAUCCAGGCCUAUCAGGUGUUAUUUGUUGACGGAACCAGGCAUCAUCAGCAAACAAAACUGACAAAGCUUCCUGCCCUCUGUGGAAGGCAUCUGAGGAAGAGACUGGAUUUUGUAGCAACAUGUUAUUCUCAUUAUAAACUUUAUCAUUGGAAUACUAAAGCCAAAUCAUCCCCCAUCUCCUUGAUCAGGAUACCCACUUAAUCUAGGCAGCUACACAAUUGUGAGAGCCUUUGUUUUUUUCUGCUGAAACAUCCUUAAAAAGAUACCUCACAACCCAAGAUUUGGCUUUUCUUAAAUACGAUUUUUAAUUUUUUUCAUUUCUAUCUAGAGAUUUAAUUGGAAAUGGAAAAUCAUCAAUUUUCCAAUUAAAUGUCUGUUCCAAUCAACAUUAUACCUUUUAGGUUGUCAUUGUCAUUUUUAAGUUUAAGCAACUUUAAGGAUUUUGAAUCUGGCUGCCUGUAAAUUAAAGGUGAAAGUAAUCAUUGUGUUGGAUUGGAACAUUUUGUCAAUUGAGAGUGGUUUCCUUGUUCUUAGUGUAUGAAAAGUUUAUUUUUCUAAUGUAGAUUAAUAAAGGAGAUAAAGAAAAACAAAAUGAGUGAUUUAUGUGUGUGAGAAAAGAACCAUUUCCUCAAGGAUUAAAUAAAAUUCAUACCUUUUGUUUCUUUUGAAAAGUUUUUAAAAUAAAUUUUAAUGAAUGUGUCCUUUAAAUAUUCCUUUAAAAAUGUAUCCUAUUUUAAAAUGGACUCUCUGAGAGAAGGAAUUGAUACCUGUGUUUAAAAUCAAAAAUAGCAUGCAUAGAGACUGUUUUUCUAGUUGGUUGAAGCUUUUUUCCCUCUCCUUUACAUCAGUGAACCAGCAUCUUGCCCUUCAGACCCUACAGCACACUCUUGGGCUCAUGAAGUGUAUGACACAUCCUCCUUGGGGGAUCGGCCAUGUCCUCGCUCUCAUGACCACAUGAAUUCUUCUGUAUGUCUUUUCUCACAGCUGAGUACUCUCUUCCUGACCCCCUUGUGGAAUGGGGAAAGGAGGCUGUGACAUUGUGCUUGUGCAAACAAUAAUUGAGAGCUUUCCGAGUCUCCUGCAUCUUCAUAAAUGAUUUUUUGUUUUAUGCUGGGACAGUAGUUCUUUAAAUAGAAUAUUCUCCCAUGGAAAUCGCCCACAAUGCUGAGAGUACACCUUGCAAAAGGUAAGUCUAGAAUAUAGGGUGCCUCCUCAGCAUUGCCCAGAAGCUGAAGUUAGGACUCUCUAGAAUACCAAAAACAAAUUUAUAGCAGUUCAUUAAUGUAAGGAAUUAUGAAAACUGUGUGCCACCAUUAUCCAUAGAUGAAACAAGAGCCACCACGCAAGCACAGACACAAAGCCCUGAAGAUGAAGCCAUUGACAGGGCUCUCAUUUAUUCUGUAGAAACCCACUUGCCUGUUUUUGAACCAGUUUUCUUUGGAGCAUAUGUCUCACUGUGCAACCAAAGUGGUGUUUAUAUCCUAGUCACUUGGCAAAAAUUCUGUCAUUGCUUCAGGGAGAUCCAUUUUAGGCCUGAAGCAUGGAGCUGGUAAUAGAUGGGAUUUGGUACUUCUGAAGAAAAGACCCUACUGCAAAUUUAGAGAGUUAAUUUUUUCUUUUGUUCCCCAUAAUAUUGUUGCUAGAUAGAACUACCUUUUUUGACUAGAAGUUAAAUAUAGAGGCCUAAAUCAAUUAGGUAACUCCCACUCAUUCUAAAUGAGAACAUGUUUGUUUUUCUCCAACGAGAUGAGAAAUAUUUGAGGCGCUUCCUGAUAUCUCUAUCACCCACUGCAUUUUUUCACUUGAUGUAUAUUUCCCCAUGUAUUUGGGAUAAUUUUCAAAUAAUUGCCCUUUAGAAAUCUACUUGAUAUUAAAUGUAAAAAAAAAGCAAGAUGCAAAAUUAUUAUAGGAUGCAUUUACAGAAAUUACAAAAUUUCUAUAAACUAUUUAUGGAGGAAGACUUAUAGAGUAUAUGUCAACACAUUGCUUUAUUAUUGUCCUUGGUUAUGAGUAUGGUUUUUUUGAAACCUGCUUUGUACUUUGGGUGUUUUCUCACCAUUGGUACAAUUGAGGCAUUUUUCCCUCUUCUUCAACCUUGCAAAUCACACGUGAGGAUGCUCAUAGAAGUGCCUCUCAGACAGGCUGUUGUUUUGCUUUCACCAAUAAAUCAUUUAUAAUUAGAAGUAGAAAACUAUUCUUUCCAGUGCAAAUACAUCCCUUUCAAAAGCAGUUCUCUUUUUGUGAAUGAUGUCUAGUGUCUAAGAAACGAGGGUAACCUUUAUUAUAUGCAUUGCUCUAAUCGAAGCAUUGUUUUUUGCGGUGAACUCAAGGUUACAUGUUUAAGAAAAGCAUCGGGUUAAUUCCAUUAGGAAAAGUGUCUUAUUCAUAAACCUUUAGCCACUGGAAAAACACCAUUAGGAGGCCACACAAGUGUGUAUAGCUGGAUAGAAUUUGACAACUGGCAAAACAAAACAAUAGCCUACAAUUGCAGAGUGCUGUCUGUUUAAAAACCAACAUAUCUUUCACCAACAAAUACAUAUUCACCUCAACACGAGACUUUCAUGUGGUUAUUAAUAUCAAAUUUUUGAAUGUCCAAAUUUUGGAGUGUAGUCUAGCAGAGGUAAACUGAUUUGCCUAAGGUCCUUCAACUGUCAGAGGUAGAAUUAUUUUCUCUCUCCUGGCUCUAAAACCUGUCCAGAUUCUCCUGCAACACUGUCCUUCAAAAACACACUUCCGCUGACUCCAGUGCUGGUGAUGUCAUGCUUUAGCUAGUAGUUAGAGGUGACUUAACUUUAAAUAUGGAAUCUUUUUUUCCUAUUAAGCAAUGAGGUUUAGUUUGAAAAUUCUUAGAGAUGAUAAACCCCUCUCCUUUUUUUCUUCCUUCUCCUCUUUUGUCCUGAACAAUGUUCCAUAUAUAUUACUGCCAGAAACAGAUUCUUGACAUUCCUGUUAUGCUUUUCCACAUCUUGUAAUCAUUUCUACAGCUGUUAGCAUUGCCAACAAUUAUAUUUCCACUUUUAAAAAAUUGUUACAAAGAUGCAGAGAGAAAAGAGGAAAGCCAAGGAAUAAACUACAGGCAAUUAUGGGAUAUUUUUGUGAUGUGACAUUUUGGGAACUGAGGCAGCAUCACUGAUACUGCACUACUUUUUAAUAUCUAGAUUUUAAUCUUUUGUAUGAAGAUAAAAUUCACAUGCCUUAAACCUGACCACAACAUAAUAGGGCAUUUAUUUUUCUAAUUUUGAUACCAUCCACAUUUCUUAACUAUAAGAAGAAUGCUUAUGUUGUACCAGGUUAUAUGAUGUUGCCAAGAAGUAGAUGUGUACCAUUUACUAAUACAUCCUUUUGGAAAAUGCGUAUUAAUAACAUAUUAAGGAGUAAAUUGACGUUGUGCAAAGUGAGCCUGUGAGUUUAAAUGUAUGGAUUGUACACCUUGCUCUUCCUAAUUGCAGAUUUAACAGGAUUUGAUGACCUAAUGAGUUUAUUUCUGAAUGAUUUAUAUUUCUUUGUCAGUUCAAUGAUUUAGUAUUUUAAAUUUUUUUAAAUCACAUUUUAUUGAGAUAAUGCUAUUAGUGUUUCUUUCCCAUCACUUAACAAAGUUAAGUCACUCCUCUCCCACCCCACUUUUGUACCUACCAAUGUUUUUUUCACAGUUACAGGCUGAUUGGCUUGACGUGUCUUAGGAUACCACCCAAAGAGAGCUUCAUUUUAUAAAUACCAAGCUCAUUUUCCUAAAUAUUUUCAAAAAGAUAGAUUUAUCCUCAUAUAGUAAAUUCAGAUUAAUAAUUUUGGAAAGGGUCAUGUGACCAUGGUAUUACAUGGCUGUGGAAGACCCUCCAAGAUCUUGUUUUGGGAUAGAAGGACUCAGACAUCCAAACUUUUAAAUUAAUGAACUUAUUAAAUUCUAAAACUUUGUAACAGUGUUAAUUUGAGAAGUAUAAUAUUUUGCUUAAGGUCUGUUUUGCUUUGCAAAAUGCAUCUCCUUCAUUUUCAUAUUAUGUUGGAAGCUUAGCAUGAAAGAACGUGCCUCAGAGGAAACCAUAGGUAAGCAUACUUUAACAAAAGUUAGUGUCAUCAUGUUUGUGUCUUUGCCUGUGGUUUUUUAAAUGUAUAAUGUUUAACGUUGAUUUGGCUAUCAAAUUACAUUUUCUUUUGUUAAAAAAUUCUGUAAAUUAGAAAUGUACUGAAUCAUUUAUUUAGCAGACUGAAGGUGGGUAAUGUUGGCUGAACAGGUUUAAGCCACAGUAAUUUGAAAAUGUAAAUACAUAAAAUAAUGUCAUUUCUCUUCCACUCAAUGUUUCUUCACCAAAUAAAGUCCAGCCUGCUCUGAAUUUGUUGCCAGUAGGAACAAUGUUACAGUGAAUCAUGGUUUAAUAUACCUUGAAAAUGGCACAUCUGUUCUGUGAUAGCUUACCAAUUUUAGCCUCUUUAUAAAAUACGAAGAGUUUGUCAACCAGAAUAAUCUAGAACCUGGCAAUUCAAAUACCAUUCAAAGCAAAUGUUUUAUCUAAUAACUGGAACUAAAUGUUAGGCCUCAUGACAGUUCAAUAUUUACUAAAUAAGUUUAAUAACAGGGUAAGCCCUCAGUAUCCAGAGCAGAGACAAGCACACCAUAUUUACACAUACAAAUUCUGCCUUUAGCCAUCUGAAAGGGCCCCGAACUAUUGCAGCAAGCAAAGAGUCUUUGCAUUGUCCUAAAAUCCAUACAAUACUUUAUAUUUUACACAUUUUAAUAGCUAGUUUAACAAAUAACAAGUACCAUGCUUAAUUCUCUGCAUGCAUUAUUUCAACUAAUUAUUGGAAUAAUCUUAUAAAGUGGGUACUUUCGUCUCAGCUUACAGGUGAGAAAACAAAAGUUAAAUAGAUCGCCCAGGGCUCUGCUGGAACGUGUUAAGCAGGGAUUUCAGCCUGUCCAGUCAGACCCCAGAAGUUGUGUUCUUAACCAUUAGCAACACAUCAUCCCAGGCAGGCCCUACAUGAGCCUCAUAACCAAUUUUAUGCUGGAUAGUAUUAUCCCUAUUUCACAGAUGGCAAAACUGAGGUCCAGAGACUUUAAGUGACCUACCCAAAAUUACAGUCAUGAGCAGAGGCACUGGAAUGUAGGGCCUUGACACUCUACCUCACGUGGUCCUCUUUCCUGUUUUGGGUAGUUCUCCACUACCACUACUCAUUUCUGAUGCUGGAAAGGCUGUGUUUUAUACAUUUCUGUUUCUGGCUUGGAACGAAACACUCUGGGUCUCUGCUUGAUCAGUGUCCCCUCUAAACUGCACCUCACUACAGUAGGGAUGGCAUAAGAUACUUCUUUACACAGCAUCUUUUUGUUCCCACCUCACCCCCAGAGCUGUAAUAGGUAGAGCCAGCCAAAUGUCAAAGGGAUGAUUUGUCUUGUCACCACUAGUUUCCCUUUUCUCUGCCUUGUAUGUAACAGGAAUAUUCUUUAGUUCCUCCUUAUGUUCUAAAGCACCUCCCCAACCUAAAAAUAGAAGAGGAGUUGUGGGUCAUUUACACUUUAGUGUGAAUUUGCCCUUGUGACUUUGCCAAGGCUGUUGUGCCUAACCCUUUCAAUCUAACAGCAGAAUGAGAGUCUCUGGACUAUCCUGGCUCCUUCCCUGAGAAGAAUGAACUGGGAAUUGUUGGUCUAGACAUCAAGACUACCAGAGACCUAUUGCUCAGAGAUGUUUGGGCUGUACAAUUUCUGUAGAUAUGGCAUCUGGAGCAGCCUUUUCUAAGCAAUGGCAUUAUCAUUCCAGGCUCUCUCGCUCUUUCCAUCUCUCCACCAGGUGGACUCUUGCCCUCCACCCCUUCCAAUUUGUCAGUGAUUCAGAGAACAUUCUCCAUCCUUCCAAUGAUUACAUUCCUUCAUCUUGCUGGGGCGCCAAUUCAGUGAUGGAGCGGCUCUUGGGAGCAGCCUUGGCUUAUAGUGCAGCUCUCUGCUACCUUCAACAGGCUGGUAUUCGGGGUGCUUAGAUGUGACUGGUUGUACGCACGUGUGUGUAUGUGCAUGUGUGUACAGCAGUAAGAGCUUUCGAGGUAGAUACUUGAGGAAGCCUCAGACAUCUAGCCCCAUUACUGGGGCAAUGUCUUACUUGGGUUUUUCCAGAAACAGACCUGGAGACCAGGAUUCAAGUGCCAGUGGUAUAUUUGGGAUGUGAACCCUGCAAUGCUGGUAGGAGAGUGGAGAAGUGAGGCAAGGAAAGGAAGGCCGUCAAGGGGCGUGUUAGGAGGUCAUUCACCACCGCAGGUAGCCCGCUGGGGACCUCUGGGAGCAAGUGUGGCGCACAAGCCUCAGCAUUACUGCCCUGUGCCUUGAGGAGUAAGGGAUAAGGAUUUUCCCCACCAGUUCCCUGUAGUCCUUGGUGAGAGCUUCUGGGGUGGAGGUUAAGGUCUUUAGGUCAGAGAAAUUUUCUUUAGUUUCGGAAAAAUCUUUCAGGCCGAGGUCCAGACACUCACUGGAACACACUGAAGUGGUUAGGUCCAAGGGCUGUAGGCAGAGCUCCCAUAUCCAUCUGCAGAGGUGUUUCAGGUGGAAGGAGUGGAGACAGCCUUCUCUGCUCCACACUGUCUUCAGCAAGGGUUUCUGUAUCUGUGCAUUGAGGAUUAAAUUAUUCACAUGGUCAGAGAAGCCCAUCACCACUGAUAGUUAUUGUAGGUAUGGAAAACUAACGACUAAGAAGGGAGAAAAAUAUACCAAGCAGUUGGCUUGGCUGAACACAAGUAAAGACUCUUACAGUCACUGGUGUGAACUGCUUAUUAUCAAUGUCUGAUUACAGUGCUGCAUACUAAUGAUUAUGCAUGUCAUUAAAUGUGUCAGAUUAACUUUGUUAUAAAAUUUAUGACAACAUUAAAUUUUAUUCACAUGCUCAGCCUUCAUAAUUUAUUGCUUAUGUAGCAUGGUUUUAACUUCAGAAAAACCUCCAAGACAGUGUUGUCUUGAUGACUACACUGCUUAUCCGUGAGUCUAGUUUUCCUGUUCAUUUGAAAUGUUCACAUUACAUUCAGCUCUGUCUCAAGCACUGAGACAGAGCUGGAAUCAGUGCCCAGCGAUUCCACUUGCCGAGUGAUUGA
rnacentral:lncRNA from 10 species